CUCGUAGGCGGUUUGGUAAGUCGGGUGUGAAACCUCCAGGCUCAACCUGGAGAUGCCACUUGAUACUGCCAUGACUAGAGUCCGGUAGGGGACCAUGGAAUUCCUGGUGUAGCGGUGAAAUGCGCAGAUAUCAGGAGGAACACCAGUAGCGAAGGCGGUGGUCUGGGCCGGUACUGACGCUGAGGAGCGAAAGCGUGGGGAGCGAACAGGAUUAGAUACCCUGGUAGUCCACGCCGUAAACGUUGGGCACUAGGUGUGGGACCCUAUCGACGGGUUCCGUGCCGCAGCUAACGCAUUAAGUGCCCCGCCUGGGGAGUACGGCCGCAAGGCUAAA
rnacentral:rRNA from 1 species